rnacentral:rRNA from 1 species
UUCUCUGAUGUUAGCGGCGGACGGGUGAGUAACACGUGGAUAACCUACCUAUAAGACUGGGAUAACUUCGGGAAACCGGAGCUAAUACCGGAUAAUAUUUUGAACCGCAUGGUUCAAAAGUGAAAGACGGUCUUGCUGUCACUUAUAGAUGGAUCCGCGCUGCAUUAGCUAGUUGGUAAGGUAACGGCUUACCAAGGCAACGAUGCAUAGCCGACCUGAGAGGGUGAUCGGCCACACUGGAACUGAGACACGGUCCAGACUCCUACGGGAGGCAGCAGUAGGGAAUCUUCCGCAAUGGGCGAAAGCCUGACGGAGCAACGCCGCGUGAGUGAUGAAGGUCUUCGGAUCGUAAAACUCUGUUAUUAGGGAAGAACAUAUGUGUAAGUAACUGUGCACAUCUUGACGGUACCUAAUCAGAAAGCCACGGCUAACUACGUGCCAGCAGCCGCGGUAAUACGUAGGUGGCAAGCGUUAUCCGGAAUUAUUGGGCGUAAAGCGCGCGUAGGCGGUUUUUUAAGUCUGAUGUGAAAGCCCACGGCUCAACCGUGGAGGGUCAUUGGAAACUGGAAAACUUGAGUGCAGAAGAGGAAAGUGGAAUUCCAUGUGUAGCGGUGAAAUGCGCAGAGAUAUGGAGGAACACCAGUGGCGAAGGCGACUUUCUGGUCUGUAACUGACGCUGAUGUGCGAAAGCGUGGGGAUCAAACAGGAUUAGAUACCCUGGUAGUCCACGCCGUAAACGAUGAGUGCUAAGUGUUAAGGGGGUUUCCGCCCCUUAGUGCUGCAGCUAACGCAUUAAGCACUCCGCCUGGGGGAGUACGACCGCAAGGUUGAAACUCAAAGGAAUUGACGGGGACCCGCACAAGCGGUGGAGCAUGGUGGUUUAAUUCGAAGCAACGCGAAGAACCUUACCAAAUCUUGACAUCCUUUGA